rnacentral:rRNA from 1 species
AACACGCAGUCAACCUAACUCGUGGACGUGGAUAACCUCGGGAAACUGAGAAUAAACCACGAUAGAUCAUCCUGCCCGGAAUGGCUUAUGGUCCAAACAGUUUACUGCCAUGGGAUGGGACUGCGGCCUAUCUUCUUGUUGGUGAGGUAAUGGCCCUCCACGGCUAUUACAGGUACGGGUUCUGAGACGAGAAGCCCGGAGAUGGGUACUGAGACACAUACCCUGGCCCUAUGGGGCGCAGCAGGCGAGAAACCUUAGCAAUUUUUUAAAACACGACUGGGUCAGUCCGAGUGAUUCCUGAGAAAGGAGUCUUUUAUCUGUCCUAAAAGCACAGGUGAAUAAGGGGUGGGCAAGUCUGGUGUCAGCCGCCGCGGUAAUACCAGCACCUCGAGUGGUCAGAACGUUUAUUGGGCCUAAAGCAUCCGUAGAAAACUUUGCAAGUCUCCGGUUAAAUCCACCUGCUCAACAGAUGGGCUGCUGGAGAUACUACAAAGCUAGGGAGUGGGAGAGGCAGACGGUAUUCAGUGGGUAGGGGUAAAAUCCUCUGAUCCAUCGAGGACCACCAGUGGCGAAGGCGGUCUGCCAGAACACGUUCGACGGUGAGGGAUGAAAGCCCGGGGAGCAAACCGGAUUAGAUACCCGGGUAGUCCCAGCUGUAAACGAUGCAAACUCGGUGAUGCAUUGGCUUAUGGCCAAUGCAGUGCCGCAGGGAAGCCGUUAAGUCUUCCGACUGGGCCGUACGGNCGCNNGUCUGAAACUGGGGCCCUAUAAAAAAG